GUACUCAAGAUUUUAGUGUGACGGUGUUGGAGCAUUGGGAGUAAUGUGUCAAAAAAAAAAAUAAUUGUAGAAGGGCAUAAUAAACAUUACACACACACAAAUGCAUACAAGACAGAGAUAAUAGAGCGAGGUAAUCAAUCACCAUGUAGCUAAGAGGGGAAGAGAGUUUUCAUAUAAAAUGUCAAAAAUUGAAGAAAGAUUCAAAUAGAGCUGGUGUCAUAAGGUAACCAACCCAACAUGUAAUUACUUGCACUUGGUCCUGCUUCCAUUCCAUGAUUUUGAUGCCCCUGAUACCUGCUACACCGUUACGGAAAGUUUUACUUAAGAUAUGCUAAAAAGAAAAUAUUUUACGUACACACAAACAAGCUAGAGAUAAAAAAUUGAUUAAUCACAUAAAGAGUGAGUUAGUUACCCCAUUUGAAGAAUGGGUUCGCAUUCCAAAGGCUGGAAGAAAGCAUGAUGAGAGUGUUGCUGUUGAUCAUGACGACCAUAGUCAACAUGAUGAUCUUCUUGACUCGGGUUGAGUUGAAGAGGCAUUUGAUAUCCAUCAGCUAACUGUCACGUACAUGUACUUGUUAGCGGAAUAAUUAUUUUUUUUGAACAAAUUAGCGGAUUAAUUAAAUACUUAGUAAUUACCAAAUCAAUAAGCAUUAUUGAAUUAUUGUGAAUGAUUAGGACAUUACCCUUAGCCUGAGAGUUUUAUUUGUCUCAUUUAACAUGCGUUCCUGCUCCAAAUAUUAUAUAAGAGAGUGAGCUAGCUAGUAUUUUUUGUGUAUAUGUCAUUUGUUUCAUCAUUCUAUUCUUUUUUUCCUUUUAUUACCUUACUCUGGAGAUCAUUGAGCUGGUCGAGCAUGAACUGUGUCUGCAAAUUUGAUAUAGGGUCUUGAUUAAUAUAGACUUCAUAGUGGUAUAUGAUGAGAGAAAUGAAAGAAGUAGUACCCGGAGAGCUCUGAUCUGCUUCAAAGAAGAGUCAAGCUGUCUCUCAAGUAACUCAAGCUCCUUUGUACUAAGAGGUCCAAGAUCUUCUCCCAAUAGAUUCCUAUUAUUUCAAGACAGAAGUCAUCACAAAUCCGUAAGGAAAAAACAAACUCUAGCAGUACCUUAAGGAGUUGAUUAGUUGUACCUUUGGGUUCUUUGUAAGGCUUCGUAACGCUCCUUAAGCUUAAGAUACUCCUGUUGGCUACUAAGUUCCUGCUUACCAAGAAGUUACCAUUACUGGAUUUGAAUUAACCAAAGGAAUUCAUGACUUUGUCUAAGCAGAAAAAGGUAAGGAAGAGAAGGAGGGGCCGGUACAACUGCUAAGGCCUCUCUUGAAGGUACAUUGGGCUCUGGAGGUCCAUAGUUGCACUUUUGGUAUCUCUCCAGUGUCCGGAUCAUGCUGCAUCACACCAUUAACUAAUUAGUCAUUUAUCAAAAUCAACUUUUAGAAAGAAUAUCUGGGAGUAAUUUCAGAGAAGAUCUAUCUCAAUUAAGAACCCAGGGAUGAAUCUAUCUGAAGUAAAGAUCCAAUGGAUAAGAUGAAUUUGACAUUGUAAUCCCUAAGGCUUACAAAAACGGGUAGCCCUAGCUAGCUAGCUAGCUACUUGAAUCACCCCCAAAACUUUCUGAAGUUGACUGCAAAAUUGAUGAAUGAUUUGAUUUCAUAAUGUGGCAGAACUCUUUUAGAAGAGAAGAAAAUAUUAAUUAGAAAACCGUAAUUAACUAAUAUCACCACCAGAGAAAUUAACCCUAAUUUCCUAUAAGAUUAUCAAAUGCCUCUUCUGUGAUAAAUCUAAAACUCAAUGUAUCAAAUAAUAUAGAGAAUCUAAAUAUAUAUAUAUAUCAAAGCUAUUUAAUUAAUCUAGUAAAAUGAUCAGAAAUGGGUAUUCAUUUCCUCUUUGCUUUUCUUUUAAAGGAUGAAAGAAAACGUGCGACACAACAACACAUCAGAUGACACUACAACAUAUGUAACUUCUUUUGUUUACUUAUACAAAAAUCAAACCAAUAGAUAAAAAUGGAUAUAUAAACAAUACCUGGAACUACUGCAAAACUCGUACAGUUUUCCUCGAUUAGAGAAGAUGAUGAGAGCAACCUCUGCAUCACAUAGAACCGAAAGCUCGUAUGCUUUCUUCAAAAGGCCAUUUCUUCUCUUUGCAAACGUCACUUGCCUAUUGAUCUUGUUCUCUAUCCUUUUUAAUUUUUUUUUUUUUUUAAAUCAGACAAAAAACUAAAAAAAAAUAAAAUAAUAAGCACCCCAAGUGGGGUGCUAGGUUAAUGGUGCUCUAAGAAUCAGAUACUUCAUUUACUGUAACAUAUAUACUUCUAAAUUCUCUUAGCAGUUAACUCUCUUCUUGUAAUCAAAUUUUUUUUUCUGAUUUUGGUUUGGCUAAGGUCGUCGGUUUACUGAAAUUUUUGGCAAGUUCAUGGAAGAUGAGUCCUCCUUCGGUCUUGCAUAAGAAGUAGCCCAAAUAAUAUCAGGUGUGGGCCUAUAUAUAGAUAAACUAACCAAUGGGUUUCUCCUUGACAGGCAGUUAACAACUUCAUGUUGAUUUGCAUACAUACAAGAGCCUCUGGAUAAGCUAGUGUGAGAUAUACUCUCUGUCCACUGUACAUUAUAGUUCAUUGUUAAAAUAUAUAUUUACACAAAAGUCUUACCCUUACUACAUAACACAAAAAUGGGAAUUAUAAAGAUUUUGGAGCUGGAAGCAUAUACUCUACUUAACACAAAUUUAACUAUAGAAGCCAUAAGGGAAUAUGUAUACAUGUACUCAAGAUUUUAGUGUGACGGUGUUGGAGCAUUGGGAGUAAUGUGUCAAAAAAAAAAAUAAUUGUAGAAGGGCAUAAUAAACAUUACACACACACAAAUGCAUACAAGACAGAGAUAAUAGAGCGAGGUAAUCAAUCACCAUGUAGCUAAGAGGGGAAGAGAGUUUUCAUAUAAAAUGUCAAAAAUUGAAGAAAGAUUCAAAUAGAGCUGGUGUCAUAAGGUAACCAACCCAACAUGUAAUUACUUGCACUUGGUCCUGCUUCCAUUCCAUGAUUUUGAUGCCCCUGAUACCUGCUACACCGUUACGGAAAGUUUUACUUAAGAUAUGCUAAAAAGAAAAUAUUUU
rnacentral:lncRNA from 1 species